rnacentral:sRNA from 1 species
CCUUUGGAGCGCCAAACAAACACCAGUAGAGUUAAUCGAAAGUGGGUACGAUGAACAAGGAA